GGAGCUGUGGCUCAGUGGUAGAGUACAUACCUAGCAUGAGUGAGGCACUGGGUUCGAUCCUCAGCAGCACAU
rnacentral:tRNA from 1 species